GAUGAACGCUAGCGGCAGGCUUAACACAUGCAAGUCGAGGGGUAGAGGAAGCUUGCUUCCUUGAGACCGGCGCACGGGUGCGUAACGCGUAUACAAUCUACCUUUUACAGAGGGAUAGCCCCAGAGAAAUUUGGAUUAAUACCUCAUAGUAUUUUCGGAUCGCAUGAUUUGAUUAUUAAAGUUCCAACGGUAAAGAUGAGUAUGCGUCCCAUUAGCUAGAUGGUAAGGUAACGGCUUACCAUGGCAAUGAUGGGUAGGGGUCCUGAGAGGGAGAUCCCCCACACUGGUACUGAGACACGGACCAGACUCCUACGGGAGGCAGCAGUGAGGAAUAUUGGACAAUGGGCGCAAGCCUGAUCCAGCCAUGCCGCGUGCAGGAAGACGGCCUUC
rnacentral:rRNA from 1 species